CCGAGUGCGGGCUCCUCGAGUCCAACCUCCCACCCGUGUUGACCGUGACCCUGUUGCUUCGGCGGGCCCACCAGGGAAGGACCCCUGGUCCUCGUCCUGGUCGCCGGGGGGUGUCUUUGCCCCCGGGCCCGUGCCCGCCGGAGAGCCUGUGAACCCUGUGUGAAUUGGGCGUCUGAGUGAGGGAUUGAAUCGUUA
rnacentral:misc_RNA from 1 species